rnacentral:piRNA from 1 species
UUCUCAGCGGGUGAUGAGAUG